AGCAGCCGCGGUAAUUCCAGCUCCAAUAGCGUAUAUUAAAGUUGUUGCAGUUAAAAAGCUCGUAGUUGAAUUUCGGGAUCAAUAUGUUGGUCGUGCCUCGGUACGUACUGGCAUUAUUGGUUUCUACCUUCUGAAGAACCUCGAUGUCAUUAAUUUGGUGUCUUGGGGAAUCAGGACUGUUACUUUGAAAAAAUUAGAGUGUUUAAAGCAGGCUCACGCUUGAAUACAUUAGCAUGGAAUAAUGAAAUAGGACGUUUGAUUCUAUUUUGUUGGUUUCUAGGAUUGACGUAAUGAUUAAUAGGGAUAGUUGGGGGCAUUAGUAUUCAAUUGUCAGAGGUGAAAUUCUUGGAUUUAUUGAAGACUGACUACUGCGAAAGCAUUUGCCAAGGAUGUUUCAUUAAUCAAGAACGAAAGUUAGGGAAUCGAAGACGAUCAGAUACCGUCGUAGUCUUAACCAUAAACUAUGCCGACUAGGGAUCGGAUGAUGUUAAUUUUUAAUGA
rnacentral:rRNA from 1 species